rnacentral:rRNA from 1 species
UACGUAGGGGGCAAGCGUUGUCCGGAAUUAUUGGGCGUAAAGCGCGUGUAGGCGGUUCGAUAAGUUUGCUGUAAAAGUCGGGGGCUCAACCCCCGAAAGCCGGUGAAUACUGUCGGACUAGAGUACGGAAGAGGCGAGUGGAAUUCCUGGUGUAGCGGUGAAAUGCGCAGAUAUCAGGAGGAACACCCAUUGCGAAGGCAGCUCGCUGGGACGUGACUGACGCUGAGACGCGAAAGCGUGGGGAGCAAACAGG